GCAGUGGUGUUCAGUGUAGAAUUCUCUCCUUCCAUGUGGGAGACCCAGGUUCAAUUCCUAGCCGAUGCA
rnacentral:tRNA from 1 species